rnacentral:rRNA from 1 species
UACGUAGGUGGCGAACGUUAUCCGGAAUCAUUGGGCGUAAAGGGUGCGUAGAUGGCAUGAUAAGUUAUUAGUGGGAAAUCGAGGCUCAACCUCGUGGAAGCUGGUAAUACUGUUUUGCUUGAGUGCAGGAGAGGUUAACGGAACUCCAUGUGGAGCGGUAAAAUGCGUAGAUAUCAGGAGGAAUACCGGUGGUGUAGACGGCUCUCUGGACCGCGACUGACGCUGAGACACGAAAGCGUGGGUAGCAAACAGG